UCUAACUAAGAAACUACCUAACCACGACGAGUCGUCCGUUGAAUGAUAUCGACGCGAAGCAACUGACAAUGUAUCGUGGGUCACUCGCUCACCUAAAAAUUCGGAAGUAGGAAUGUUUCCGGCAAAGCGUUCUCGUUAUCAGUGAAAGUCGACAGUUAUAAACGACCAGUAUGAAGAAUCUGCGAGUUAUUAUGUGGUCAAGAAUGACUACAAGAUUUCGAUGCCUAACAUCAUCGCAAGUUAUUGUCUAGUGACAGUAUUAUUAUUUUUCUGUUAUCUUUAAGACAUACAUGUUAAUAAAAGCUAGAGAAGGGAGAGAUGAUAUCUUAUCGUACA